UGGGGAAUAUUGCACAAUGGGCGAAAGCCUGAUGCAGCCAUGCCGCGUGUGUGAAGAAGGCCUUCGGGUUGUAAAGCACUUUCAGCGAGGAGGAAAGGUYAGUAGUUAAUAACUGCUGGCUGUGACGUUACUCGCAGAAGAAGCACCGGCUAAUUUAGUGCCAGCAGCCGCGGUAAUA
rnacentral:rRNA from 1 species